rnacentral:misc_RNA from 1 species
AAGUCGUAACAAGGUUUCCGUAGGUGAACCUGCGGAAGGAUCAUUAAUGAACUAUUAGAAUGGUUUGCUGCUGCCUUGAAAAAGGAUUGUGCACAGCCUUUCAAUAUUCUACUUAACCACUUGUGCACCUUUCAUGAACCAUGAAUACAAUUUGUAUCACUGAAAAUGUGGAUUUGAGAUUUAGUUUUACUCUUUCUCAACGUACUCAUGGUUUAUGGUUUCUUACACACACUAUGAAAUAAAAUGAAUGUAUUACUUAUGGAGUUUUACUCUAUAAUAAAUGAAAUACAACUUUUAGCAACGGAUCUCUUGGCUCUC